AUACAUAAAAGCUCAAACAAUUAAACUGAUUCUUUUCACUUUCUCGCAAGUUCGGAAACCUUUCCUUCACUUUCUCAUCAUCCAAACACCAAAACCAUCAACAACCAUGACAACAAUCAGUCUCCGGAAGGGAAACACACGUCUUCCACCGGAAGUUAACCGCGUCCUCUACGUUCGCAACCUUCCCUUCAACAUAACAAGCGAAGAAAUGUACGAUAUAUUCGGCAAAUACGGUGCUAUUCGUCAGAUCCGAAUCGGAACUAACAAAGACACGCGCGGCACCGCUUUUGUCGUUUACGAAGACAUUUACGACGCUAAAACUGCCGUCGAUCAUCUCUCUGGUUUCAAUGUCGCUAAUCGAUAUCUCAUCGUUCUUUAUUAUCAGCAUGCUAAGAUGAGUAAGAAGUUUGAUCAGAAGAAGAAGGAAUUUCGUAAAUUUUAUUGACAUUAAAAAAAUAAGUUAACUUAAAAAAAAUUUACAAUAAAAAAAUUUAAAAAAUCUAAUUAUAACUUAACUUAAAAAUUAAUUUCUUAUAAGCUCUAUGUUAUCGAUGAAAAGUAUGACUCCAACACCAUGCCUUUUUUUUUGAAUUCUACAAAGAAUCUUUUUUCUUUCCAAAAAAUUUAUUAUAAAAUAAUAUUUUUAAUUUUAAACAAAUAAAAAUAAUAAUUAUUAAAAAAAAUUAAAUAAUUAGAUUAGAUGAAAUAAGAAUUUUUAAAACAAUGGACAUGGACAUAUAUAAAAUAAAUUAUUAUUUUUCUCUUCAAUAUUCUGGAAAUUUAAUUGGAUUCAUGGCUAAGAAGCUUAAAUAAAUUUUAUAUUUACUUAAAUAAAUUAUUAUUUUUUAUUUAAUAUAACUAUGUGCCAACACCAUUUAUUAACUAUUUAUGAGAGAAUUUAAGAGAAUAGAAAUAGAGUUAGUAAGACAAAUCUUAUAUAAGAGAAUAGAAAUAGAGUUAGUAAGAGAAAUCUUGUAUAAGAGAAUAGAAAUAUAAAUAUACAAAUGUACAAUUUGUUGACUAUUUAUUAGUGAAUUUAAAAUCGGAGUUAUUAAGACAAAUGUUAUAUAAGAGAAUAGAAAUUUACAUAUACACAUUUACAAUUUUUUGAGACAAAAUUAAGAAACAUAAACAAUACAAAAUAUAUAUACAUAACAAAAUAGUAAUCUUUUUUUAUAAAUAAAAUAAAAUAACAAUGAUAGAUUGAAAAAAAUUUACCAUUCAAGUAAUUCGUGUGAACAUAUACUCCAGAAAGUUGCUAGACGCAACACGAACAAAUACAUAGUUUCACCAGGAAUACUCUAUUGCAUAAAGGUCGAUGGAACAAUGUAGGCAAGGGAAGUCGGCAAAAUGGAUCCGUAACCUCGGGAAAAUGAUUGACUUUGACGGCUGGCUAUGGAUUUAAAGAUGUUGUUGUUAGAAAUAGAAAUAUGAAUUUAUUUAAAUAAUAAUUAGUUUUUUCUUGAUUUUGUUUGAAGAUAAUGAUGAAUUUUUUAGAUUUUUAUAAAAAAUAUAUUAUUGACAUUUUAAAAUAUACUUAUUUAAAAUUAAAUAAAUAAUUAAUUAAAAAAUAAAAAUUAUUAUUAAAAUUAAUUUAAAAAAGUGCGAAAGUACUUUGUGGAUAAAAUAAUAAAGACACUUGAGCAAGUCUUCAAUACCAAAGUCUUGCUGGAGAGAAGUUAUAUUGAGUAUUGACUUUGAUUUGACAAUUAAGUUAUAUUUUGAGUGUUUACUUUGAUUUGACAAGUUUUUAUCAGGUUACUUCGCGAGAGAUGUCAUCUUCUCGUAUUUUUUCUCCUUUUUUUUUUCCUUUGAUUUUUAAGAUCCGAAUUUUUUUUUAUUGGACUCGGGUUUUUGGGGUGGCUGGUAGAGUCGCAAUUCAACGCAUAAUUUACUUACCCAUAUCACCCACGCGAAUAACAUAUUAAUUAUUUUUAUUUUUAUUAUUAUUAUUAUUAUUAUAUAAAAAUAUUUGUAUAUAUAUUUAUAUACAACACAAAAGUAUCAAUAAAAAUAUAGAUUUUAUCAUACUAAUAAUAUUUAUAUUACUAAUUUAAAUAUACAAAUAAAAGUUUAAAAAAAUUUAGCUAAAUUAACUAUUUUUAAGUUUUUAGGUGGAAUAAAAAAGUUCCAUAUAUAUAUAUAUAUAUAUAUAUAUAUAUAUAUAUAUAUAUAUAUAUAUAGAGAGAAUCAAUAUAAUUUUUGGAUAAUUUAAAUUCUUUAAUUUAUUAUUUUUACAAUUUAAUAUUAAGUAACCUUGAAUAUUUUUUUAAUUGUGUUGAAAUAAUAUAGCAUUUUAUUAUUUAACAAUUUAUUUUAAUUAUAAUAUUGGUACAAGGUACGCAAAGGAUUACUAAGUACAUAAAUAAUAAAUAUACGAAGAUUAAGAUUAAUUCUCGUAUAAAUCUGGUGUAUAUGGAGUCAUGUUUUUCAUCAAUAAAUUAGAUUGACCUGUUUUUAAAUUAGAUUUAAGAUUAGAUUUUUUUACUGUAAAUUAUUUUUUUAAUUAAUAAAUUAAUAUAACAAUUUUUUUAUUAAAAUAGUUUCCGUACGAAGCACGGAUUACCUAGUAAUUUAAUAUUAUUUUUUAGAUUUCAAACUUAAUUUUUUAUUUUAAUGAAGACGAUAUAGAGUUAAUUGGCGAUACUUAAAUCCAACUUUUCCAAUUUAAAAGUUCAUCUCCAUACGAGAUUUGUAGGCCCAACCCAAAGCCCAACCCAACAUGAUCUAUAUACAUAAAAGCUCAAACAAUUAAACUGAUUCUUUUCACUUUCUCGCAAGUUCGGAAACCUUUCCUUCACUUUCUCAUCAUCCAAACACCAAAACCAUCAACAACCAUGACAACAAUCAGUCUCCGGAAGGGAAACACACGUCUUCCACCGGAAGUUAACCGCGUCCUCUACGUUCGCAACCUUCCCUUCAACAUAACAAGCGAAGAAAUGUACGAUAUAUUCGGCAAAUACGGUGCUAUUCGUCAGAUCCGAAUCGGAACUAACAAAGACACGCGCGGCACCGCUUUUGUCGUUUACGAAGACAUUUACGACGCUAAAACUGCCGUCGAUCAUCUCUCUGGUUUCAAUGUCGCUAAUCGAUAUCUCAUCGUUCUUUAUUAUCAGCCAAUGUCGCUAUCGAUAUCUCAUCGUUCUUUAUUAUCAGCAUGCUAAGAUGAGUAAGAAGUUUGAUCAGAAGAAGAAGGAAGAUGAAAUUGCUCGUAUGCAGGAGAAGUACGGUGUUACUACUAAAGACAAGUAGUUCAUGAUACGUAAGCGCUUCUUUCGAAAACUCGAUUUAUUUUGCUAAUUUCUAGGGUUUCUUGUGUUAGGGUUUUGUGGUAAUUCACUAUAUAUAACUGUUGAUGGAUGUUUGGAUUCGCAAUUGAAUAGUUUUAUUGAUAUAUCAAUGUAAAGCACGAUUAUGAUGUAUGAUAUUGUUACUUUUCUGCUAGCACUACUUAUUUAAGAAAAAGUGAUUAUUCAAUUUUGAGGACUGGAAUUUAAUUUUUCCUGCAUGAGAUGUUUAUUAGGUUUACUUGAUGCUAAUUUCUUCAAGGGUAAUUAGGUAGUUUCGUUGCUUUGUGAGUUUGUUGUACUAGGAUGUUUGGAUUGUGGAGAUUGCUAAGGGUGAGGUUAUUAAGACAAAUGUUAUAUAAGAGAAUAGAAAUUUACAUAUACACAUUUACAAUUUUUUGAGACAAAAUUAAGAAACAUAAACAAUACAAAAUAUAUAUACAUAACAAAAUAGUAAUCUUUUUUUAUAAAUAAAAUAAAAUAACAAUGAUAGAUUGAAAAAAAUUUACCAUUCAAGUAAUUCGUGUGAACAUAUACUCCAGAAAGUUGCUAGACGCAACACGAACAAAUACAUAGUUUCACCAGGAAUACUCUAUUGCAUAAAGGUCGAUGGAACAAUGUAGGCAAGGGAAGUCGGCAAAAUGGAUCCGUAACCUCGGGAAAAUGAUUGACUUUGACGGCUGGCUAUGGAUUUAAAGAUGUUGUUGUUAGAAAUAGAAAUAUGAAUUUAUUUAAAUAAUAAUUAGUUUUUUCUUGAUUUUGUUUGAAGAUAAUGAUGAAUUUUUUAGAUUUUUAUAAAAAAUAUAUUAUUGACAUUUUAAAAUAUACUUAUUUAAAAUUAAAUAAAUAAUUAAUUAAAAAAUAAAAAUUAUUAUUAAAAUUAAUUUAAAAAAGUGCGAAAGUACUUUGUGGAUAAAAUAAUAAAGACACUUGAGCAAGUCUUCAAUACCAAAGUCUUGCUGGAGAGAAGUUAUAUUGAGUAUUGACUUUGAUUUGACAAUUAAGUUAUAUUUUGAGUGUUUACUUUGAUUUGACAAGUUUUUAUCAGGUUACUUCGCGAGAGAUGUCAUCUUCUCGUAUUUUUUCUCCUUUUUUUUUUCCUUUGAUUUUUAAGAUCCGAAUUUUUUUUUAUUGGACUCGGGUUUUUGGGGUGGCUGGUAGAGUCGCAAUUCAACGCAUAAUUUACUUACCCAUAUCACCCACGCGAAUAACAUAUUAAUUAUUUUUAUUUUUAUUAUUAUUAUUAUUAUUAUAUAAAAAUAUUUGUAUAUAUAUUUAUAUACAACACAAAAGUAUCAAUAAAAAUAUAGAUUUUAUCAUACUAAUAAUAUUUAUAUUACUAAUUUAAAUAUACAAAUAAAAGUUUAAAAAAAUUUAGCUAAAUUAACUAUUUUUAAGUUUUUAGGUGGAAUAAAAAAGUUCCAUAUAUAUAUAUAUAUAUAUAUAUAUAUAUAUAUAUAUAUAUAUAUAUAUAGAGAGAUAAUUAAUUUUUGUUUUGUUUUAAUUCUAUUAAUAUUGUUAAAUCAAAUAAAUAGUUACAUAAAGAUCAAUAUAAUUUUUGGAUAAUUUAAAUUCUUUAAUUUAUUAUUUUUACAAUUUAAUAUUAAGUAACCUUGAAUAUUUUUUUAAUUGUGUUGAAAUAAUAUAGCAUUUUAUUAUUUAACAAUUUAUUUUAAUUAUAAUAUUGGUACAAGGUACGCAAAGGAUUACUAAGUACAUAAAUAAUAAAUAUACGAAGAUUAAGAUUAAUUCUCGUAUAAAUCUGGUGUAUAUGGAGUCAUGUUUUUCAUCAAUAAAUUAGAUUGACCUGUUUUUAAAUUAGAUUUAAGAUUAGAUUUUUUUACUGUAAAUUAUUUUUUUAAUUAAUAAAUUAAUAUAACAAUUUUUUUAUUAAAAUAGUUUCCGUACGAAGCACGGAUUACCUAGUAAUUUAAUAUUAUUUUUUAGAUUUCAAACUUAAUUUUUUAUUUUAAUGAAGACGAUAUAGAGUUAAUUGGCGAUACUUAAAUCCAACUUUUCCAAUUUAAAAGUUCAUCUCCAUACGAGAUUUGUAGGCCCAACCCAAAGCCCAACCCAACAUGAUCUAUAUACAUAAAAGCUCAAACAAUUAAACUGAUUCUUUUCACUUUCUCGCAAGUUCGGAAACCUUUCCUUCACUUUCUCAUCAUCCAAACACCAAAACCAUCAACAACCAUGACAACAAUCAGUCUCCGGAAGGGAAACACACGUCUUCCACCGGAAGUUAACCGCGUCCUCUACGUUCGCAACCUUCCCUUCAACAUAACAAGCGAAGAAAUGUACGAUAUAUUCGGCAAAUACGGUGCUAUUCGUCAGAUCCGAAUCGGAACUAACAAAGACACGCGCGGCACCGCUUUUGUCGUUUACGAAGACAUUUACGACGCUAAAACUGCCGUCGAU
rnacentral:lncRNA from 1 species